GACGAACGCUGGCGGCGUGCCUAAUACAUGCAAGUAGAACGCUGAAGAGAGGAGCUUGCUCUUCUUGGAUGAGUUGCGAACGGGUGAGUAACGCGUAGGUAACCUGCCUUGUAGCGGGGGAUAACUAUUGGAAACGAUAGCUAAUACCGCAUAACAAUAGGUGACACAUGUCAUUUAUUUGAAAGGGGCAAUUGCUCCACUACAAGAUGGACCUGCGUUGUAUUAGCUAGUAGGUGAGGUAACGGCUCACCUAGGCGACGAUACAUAGCCGACCUGAGAGGGUGAUCGGCCACACUGGGACUGAGACACGGCCCAGACUCCUACGGGAGGCAGCAGUAGGGAAUCUUCGGCAAUGGGGGCAACCCUGACCGAGCAACGCCGCGUGAGUGAAGAAGGUUUUCGGAUCGUAAAGCUCUGUUGUAAGUCAAGAACGAGUGUGAGAGUGGAAAGUUCACACUGUGACGGUAGCUUACCAGAAAGGGACGGCUAGCUACGUG
rnacentral:rRNA from 1 species